GCACGCUCCUACCACACAGGACCCCGCUCAUCCAAAAGGGCAAAGCUCACAACUCUCUGUGAGCACUGGGAGGUGAGCGGCGUCACAGAGGUCUGCAUGCACCUUCUCGGGCAUGCUGCUGGAACAACUCACCAAACCCCACUGAGGUCAGCCAUUUUCAGAGAGCCACCCCUGGCUUCUUCUACAUGUGCUCUGUGCUCAUACGCUCAGGUUUGGCUGCUGACCUGGGGUGCAAGAGCAGGCAGGAAGAGCCUGCAGGCACACACUGACUCUGGUUAGUGACACUGGAUGACCACAGGACACAAAUUACCUGGCAUGCCAGUUGUCGGCGCUGUCUGUGUUCCUCUGGCCAAGACUGGCAGUGUGGGAUGGCUGCCAAACCGCAGUGCGUCCUGUGCAGAUGGUUGGUCACUUCCUUCGGAAAGAAACAGGACAGUACCAUUGGAUGUGACGUCCUCUCAUCAGGAACUGAGCUACUCCUACCCUGAGCUCAGGCAAAGUCUGCAGGUCCCGGCCCCCAAAGCCACUGCGACCCCCUCCGCUGCCCAAUAGCAUUUGGGCCCUCCCAGGAAUUGGAGGGUGCCAAAACCUCUCACGCCUCCCGAGUAAUAAGGCCCCUGGCCAGGGCCCUCACGCACCGUGCUGGGACCAUCACCAACCAUCCUGUUCCACCCAUCACAGCCAGGCACCUGCACGCUCAAAUUCAAGCUCCGGCAGAAACAUCUCCAGAAUCACCAUCUCCACCUCGUUUCCAGCAUUAGCAAAGACAGCCACCCCUGCUUGGGAUGCUCCUCCUGCCUUGAACUUGCUCAGCAGCAGAGAGGGCUUUGUUCAAACAGGACCACACCACUCGCCACUUGCUGCCAUCUGGGUGCCAAUGUCUGCACAAAGCAGCUCUGACAAGUUACGGUCGUGCUGGGCGAGCAGCUGUCUCGGGGUCUUGGCUGGAUGCAGAAGUGGCAGCAGACCAUCUCUGGAGCUUGACAGUGCCUGCAAGGUGUUACACGGAACACCACCACACCACGGCUCUGAGAGAUCCCUUCCUGCCGUGCAGGCUACAACUUAUCCACCCAUGCAUAUCAGACCUCAGCUUCCCAACUCUCACAGUGAACACACUCAAGUAUACCCACCACAGAAAAGGGAAUGCAUUCGUACGCCAUGAAAACACGAAAUCCCCUCCUCAGAGCCCACAAGUCACGCUUCUUUUCCAGCAACGACUGGCAGCAACUCCAGAAAAUCCUCCAUGCCAAAGCAGCUCCUGCAGAUGCACAACAGAGUCCUUCACAAGAAACACGAGCUUAUGCUGCAGCCUCUGGAGAAGCAAGCUGCCUUUGUGGUGCUUGCUCGGGAGGCCUCCUUCGGAUCAACUCUCAGCCACAGCAGGAGAGCUUUUCUUCUACAUAUACAUGCACCUCGUACCUUUAACCACCCCUGAACAUCGCACAGUGCAUAGCACGGAAAAAAAGGAAAUUCACAAGCAAUGCAAGGCAAAGAUACAAAAGGAAAGCCGAAGAGGAAAGCAAAUCCAGGAACAAGAACCAAAAGAGUUAAGACCAAAAAGCCAAGGAAGGCAAAGCACAAUCACCUGAACAGCCGAGAAACAAAGAGGAACACCAUGAAGGAGGGAGAAAAGAGUUCCAAGAAUGGGAAAGGGAAAAGUAUCCAUCACCACAUCUGAACAAAACCAAGGUAUUGCAAUACAGGAGCAGCAAUAAAGCAAGACUGACAAAAGAACGGCAAACAACAAGGAAAACAGAGCAAAGCAAAACAAAGACAUGCAAUACAAGAGUCCAGCACAUGAACUCAAGACAGCAUCAUGGCAAAGCAAGGAAGCCAAACACAGGAAAACAGGCCCACUGCCCCGCCACAGGCAUACACUGAUCUAGAUCACUCCGUGACAGCCAGCUAACACAAACGGGAAGGAAGUAUGAAAGCAGUCUUGUUGGACUUCACAGGCUUUCCUCCUCAUCAAAUCUUGUUCUGCUCAGGAGCAAAAAGAGGGAAGCAAUUCACCUGGAUGACAAAGGGGGGCAGCCUGGUUCCACCCCUCCCUCACCUCAUAUCAGGGCUGGCUGCCCCAAGGGAAGGAUCACUGCUUCAAAUUCUGUUCUUGUUUAGUACGGUGUGAGCCCUCUUCCUCACAAAGGGGUAAGCAGUUCCAUCUUCAUUUACUGGACUGAUUCCUUUCCGCUCCCUGGGUAAAGGAAAACUGUGCCUGUGAUAGCCUUGGUCUACAGUUGCCAUUCUGGGUUAACCAGUGGUACACUUCCGUUGGAGGCCUGGGUCAAAGGAGGUCCCUAAGGGCCAGCUGGGUCUGGCCCCUCUGGCUUCAAGCAGCAAAAAAAAGCUUACAGUAGCAGCUGAUAGCCGACGGGGGAUACCACUCUGUGUAGAAAUGGGGGUACUCAGAGCUGCGUGAACUCCUUGGACAGGCCAAACAGCGUGGAGGUCACUUCUACUGGUAGCUGUGCAAUUCAGGAAUGAAGUCUGUUGCUCAGCUCGGACGCCUGACAGCAUUUUGUGUGCUCCAGCAGCUUUACUCUGAGCAAUGUAUUGCUGUCAGGCAGACUGGGGUUUCUU
ensembl:lncRNA